rnacentral:rRNA from 1 species
GUAGGGGGGCGAGCGUUGUCCGGAUUUAUUGGGCGUAAAGGGGGGCUCGUAGGCGGCUUGGGCAAGUCGGGCCGUGAAAACCCGGGGCUCAACCCCGGGACGCCGGUCGAAACUGCCAUGGCUAGGGUCCGGUAGAGGUGAGUGGAAUUCUCGGUGUAGCGGUGAAAUGCGCAGAUAUCGAGAGGAACACCAUUAGCGAAGGCGGCUCACUGGGCCGGUACCGACGCUGAGGAGCGAAAGCGUGGGGAGCAAACAGGAUUAGAUACCCUGGUAGUCCACGCCGUAAACGUUGAACACUAGGUGUGGCGGGUUUAUUCACGCCUGCCGUGCCGCAGCUAACGCAUUAAGUGUUCCGCCUGGGGAGUACGGCCGCAAGGCUA